GGUUCUAUGGUGUAAUGGUUAGCACUUUGGACUUUGAAUCCAAUAACUUGGGUUUGACUCCCGGUAGGAUCU